rnacentral:rRNA from 1 species
GACGAACGCUGGCGGCGUGCUUAACACAUGCAAGUCGAACGGAAAGGCCCCUUUGGGGGUCCUCGAGUGGCGAACGGGUGAGUAACACGUGAGUAACCUGCCCUUGCCUUCGGGAUAACUUCAGGAAACUGGGGCUAAUACCGGAUAGGAAUCCUUGCUGCAUGGUGGGGGUUGGAAAGCUUCGGCGGUUUUGGAUGGACUCGCGGCUUAUCUGCUUGUUGGUGGGGUAGUGGCUUACCAAGGCUUUGACGGGUAGCCGGCCUGAGUGGGCGACCGGCCACAUUGGGACUGAGAUACGGCCCAGACUCCUACGGGAGGCAGCAGGGGGGAAUAUUGCACAAUGGGCGGAAGCCUGAUGCAGCAACGCCGCGUGCGGGAUGACGGCCUUCGGGUUGUAAACCGCUUUCAGCAGGGGCGAAGCUUGUGGUGACGGUACCUGCAGAAGAAGCACCGGCUAACUACGUG